AUUGAACGCUAGCGGGAUGCUUUACACAUGCAAGUCGAACGGCAGCGCGGACUUCGGUCUGGCGGCGAGUGGCGAACGGGUGAGUAAUGUAUCGGAACGUGCCCAGUAGCGGGGGAUAACUACGCGAAAGCGUAGCUAAUACCGCAUACGCCCUACGGGGGAAAGCAGGGGAUCGUAAGACCUUGCACUAUUGGAGCGGCCGAUAUCGGAUUAGCUAGUUGGUGAGGUAACGGCUCCCCAAGGCGACGAUCCGUAGCUGGUUUGAGAGGACGACCAGCCACACUGGGACUGAGACACGGCCCAGACUCCUACGGGAGGCAGCAGUGGGGAAUUUUGGACAAUGGGGGCAACCCUGAUCCAGCCAUCCCGCGUGUGCGAUGAAGGCCUUCGGGUUGUAAAGCACUUUUGGCAGGAAAGAAACGUCGCGGGCUAAUACCCCGUGGAACUGACGGUACCUGCAGAAUAAGCACCGGCUAACUACGUG
rnacentral:rRNA from 1 species